rnacentral:rRNA from 1 species
GAUGAACGCUGGCGGCGUGCCUAAUACAUGCAAGUCGAGCGAACGGACGAGGAGCUUGCUCCUCUGACGUUAGCGGCGGACGGGUGAGUAACACGUGGAUAACCUACCUAUAAGACUGGGAUAACUUCGGGAAACCGGAGCUAAUACCGGAUAAUAUUUUGAACCGCAUGGUUCAAUAGUGAAAGACGGUUUUGCCGUCACUUAUAGAUGGAUCCGCGCCGCAUUAGCUAGUUGGUAAGGUAACGGCUUACCAAGGCAACGAUGCAUAGCCGACCUGAGAGGGUGAUCGGCCACACUGGAACUGAGACACGGUCCAGACUCCUACGGGAGGCAGCAGUAGGGAAGCUUCCGCAAUGGGCGAAAGCUUGACGGAGCAACGCCGCGGGAGUGAUGAAGGUCUUCGGAUCGUAAAACUCUGUUAUUAGGGAAGAACAAAUGUGUAAGUAACUAUGCACGUCUUGACGGUACCUAAUCAGAAAGCCACGGCUAACUACGUG